UACAGGGGGGGCAAGCGUUGUUCGGAAUUACUGGGCGUAAAGGGCUCGUAGGCGGCCAACUAAGUCGGACGUGAAAUCCCUCGGCUUAACCGGGGAACUGCGUCUGAUACUGGAUGGCUUGAGAUUGGGAGAGGGAUGCGGAAUUCCAGGUGUAGCGGUGAAAUGCGUAGAUAUCUGGAGGAACACCGGUGGCGAAGGCGGCAUCCUGGACCAACACUGACGCUGAGGAGCGAAAGCCAGGGGAGCAAACGGG
rnacentral:rRNA from 1 species